ACACAUGCAUGCACACUCAUAAGCAGCACUAUAUAUGUGUGUGUGUGUGUGUGUGUGUGUGUGUGUGUGUGUGUGU